rnacentral:rRNA from 1 species
ACUGAUCAUGGCUCAGGAUGAACGCUGGCGGCGUGCUAAUACAUGCAAGUCGAGCGAACUUUUGGGAGCUUGCUCCCAAAAGUUAGCGGCGGACGGGUGAGUAACACGUGGGUAACCUGCCUGUAAGACUGGGAUAACUUCGGGAAACCGGAGCUAAUACCGGAUAACAUCGAAGACCACAUGGUCUUCAAUUAAAAGGUGGCUUUUAGCUACCACUUACAGAUGGACCCGCGGCGCAUUAGCUAGUUGGUGAGGUAACGGCUCACCAAGGCGACGAUGCGUAGCCGACCUGAGAGGGUGAUCGGCCACACUGGGACUGAGACACGGCCCAGACUCCUACGGGAGGCAGCAGUAGGGAAUCUUCCGCAAUGGACGAAAGUCUGACGGAGCAACGCCGCGUGAGCGAAGAAGGCCUUCGGGUCGUAAAGCUCUGUUGUUAGGGAAGAACAAGUAUCGUUCGAAUAGGGCGGUACCUUGACGGUACCUAACCAGAAAGCCACGGCUAACUACGUGCCAGCAGCCGCGGUAAUACGUAGGUGGCAAGCGUUAUCCGGAAUUAUUGGGCGUAAAGCGCGCGCAGGCGGUCCUUUAAGUCUGAUGUGAAAGCCCACGGCUCAACCGUGGAGGGUCAUUGGAAACUGGGGGACUUGAGUGCAGAAGAGGAGAGCGGAAUUCCACGUGUAGCGGUGAAAUGCGUAGAGAUGUGGAGGAACACCAGUGGCGAAGGCGGCUCUCUGGUCUGUAACUGACGCUGAGGCGCGAAAGCGUGGGGAGCGAACAGGAUUAGAUACCCUGGUAGUCCACGCCGUAAACGAUGAGUGCUAAGUGUUAGAGGGUUUCCGCCCUUUAGUGCUGCAGCAAACGCAUUAA